rnacentral:rRNA from 1 species
AAUUCGAUUAGAGUUUGAUUAUGGCUCAGGAUGAACGCUAGCGGCAGGCUUAAUACAUGCAAGUCGAGGGGUAGCAGGACUAGCAAUAGUUGCUGACGACCGGCAAACGGGUGCGGAACACGUACACAACCUUCCUUUUAGUGGGGAAUAGCCCAGAGAAAUUUGGAUUAAUACCCCGUAACAUAACGAUGUGGCAUCACAUUGUUAUUAUAGGUUUACCGCUAGAAGAUGGGUGUGCGGCUGAUUAGAUAGUUGGCGGGGUAACGGCCCACCAAGUCUACGAUCAGUAGCUGAUGUGAGAGCAUGAUCAGCCACACGGGCACUGAGACACGGGCCCGACUCCUACGGGAGGCAGCAGUAAGGAAUAUUGGACAAUGGACGCAAGUCUGAUCCAGCCAUGCCGCGUGAAGGAUGAAGGUCCUCUGGAUUGUAAACUUCUUUUAUAUGGGACGAAAAAAGGGAAUUCUUUCCCUCUUGACGGUACUGUAUGAAUAAGCACCGGCUAACUCCGUGCCAGCAGCCGCGGUAAUACGGAGGGUGCAAGCGUUAUCCGGAUUCACUGGGUUUAAAGGGUGCGUAGGCGGGUAUGUAAGUCAGUGGUGAAAUCCUAGAGCUUAACUCUGGA